rnacentral:rRNA from 1 species
GGCGACGGGUGAGUAAUGCUUAGGAAUCUGCCCAAUAGUGGGGGACAACUCGGGGAAACUCGAGCUAAUACCGCAUACGCCCUACGGGGGAAAGCAGGGGAUCUUCGGACCUUGCGCUAUUGGAUGAGCCUAAGUCGGAUUAGCUUGUUGGUGAGGUAAAAGCUCACCAAGGCGACGAUCCGUAGCUGGUCUGAGAGGACGAUCAGCCAAACUGGGACUGAGACACGGCCCAG